UACGUAGGGUCCGAGCGUUGUCCGGAAUUAUUGGGCGUAAAGAGCUCGUAGGCGGUCUGUCGCGUCGGCUGUGAAAACUCAGGGCUCAACCCUGAGCCUGCAGUCGAUACGGGCAGACUAGAGUUCGGUAGGGGAGACUGGAAUUCCUGGUGUAGCGGUGAAAUGCGCAGAUAUCAGGAGGAACACCGGUGGCGAAGGCGGGUCUCUGGGCCGAAACUGACGCUGGAGGAGCGAAAGCGUGGGGAGCGAACAGG
rnacentral:rRNA from 1 species